UGCAGUCGAACGGUAACAGGGAGCUUGCUCCGCUGACGAGUGGCGAACGGGUGAGUAAUACAUCGGAACGUGUCCUGUAGUGGGGGAUAGCCCGGCGAAAGCCGGAUUAAUACCGCAUACGAUCUACGGAUGAAAGGGGGGGAUUCUUCGGAACCUCUCGCUAUAGGGGCGGCCGAUGGCAGAUUAGCUAGUUGGUGGGGUAAAGGCCUACCAAGGCGACGAUCUGUAGCUGGUCUGAGAGGACGACCAGCCACACUGGGACUGAGACACGGCCCAGACUCCUACGGGAGGCAGCAGUGGGGAAUUUUGGACAAUGGGCGAAAGCCUGAUCCAGCAAUGCCGCGUGUGUGAAGAAGGCCUUCGGGUUGUAAAGCACUUUUGUUCGGGAAGAAAAGGAGCGGGCUAAUAUCCUGCUCUGAUGACGGUACCGGAAGAAUAAGCACCGGCUAACUACGUGCCAGCAGCCGCGGUAAUACGUAGGGUGCAAGCGUUAAUCGGAAUUACUGGGCGUAAAGCGUGCGCAGGCGGUUUGUUAAGACAGAUGUGAAAUCCCCGGGCUCAACCUGGGAACUGCAUUUGUGACUGGCAAGCUAGAGUCUGGCAGAGGGGGGUGGAAUUCCGCGUGUAGCAGUGAAAUGCGUAGAUAUGCGGAGGAACACCGAUGGCGAAGG
rnacentral:rRNA from 1 species